GGGUUGGGGGCUGGGUUGGGGAGACGGCUGCCGACUGGCUGUUCGCAUCCACUUGAACUUUGCGUGGCAGCCCCGCAGUGCUAAGUGGCUCCUCUAAUGGUGAGACUCAGUUGAACCCCGACAGACGCUCCCCUGCUCACUCUGUGCUUCGCCGAGCUUCCCCCGCCAAAGCAAACUCACGACGACAAAGAGGCGCUUGAGUUUGGAAAGGCGGAGCCAAUUCUCCUCAAGUGAAGCAAGUUCGGUUGUUUCGAUCGUUUGCGUUAGUUGUUUGUCUGAACUUUCUUGUGAGUAUUAGUCGGUGGAUUUAUUACAACAAAAGAAGCCCCUGCAAACACAGACAAACCAACUGUCUCCAUAACAAGUCAUAAUCAUACCUUCCGAAAGCAGAGCAGAAUUUACUGCCAAGUGGACCAUAAAUUGCACAAGUAGCGUCUUGUUCUACGAGCGUUCCGACAGCAGCUAAACACACUCCCCGGAUGCAGAGGCGAUAUCAAACGGUAAUUACCUCAGCGAGAAAGGGCAAGUCUGCAGAGAAAGCGUUUUAAGGACGCCAGCAGUGCAGAUGGCCCGUGCGCGGCUGAGAUUCGAACACUCAUUCCCAGGAUGGUUGGUCCGUCCGAGUGGGCCUCUCGCAAGACCUUUUGGCCAACAGCUGCACCCAGCUAACGUUUUUGAGCAGUGGGCUGGACGCCACGGGAUGUGCUGAGCGACUAACAUGCAGCGAAGGAGGCGAACGUGCUCAAGACGGACAGGAGGAACAAAGGUUUAGGGCCACACUGAUGAAACAAAAUUCAAAUCAUUACAAUUAAAAAACGUUAUAAAAAUAAUCUAUUAUACAUAAUUUGGUUUAAUAGGACAAUGUAAGGGUGAUUGGCUUUUGUGAGUCGUCGCUUUAUUAAAACAAAGCAUCAUCACCGAGUCUUGCACAUCAGCUUAUUAAAACAAAGUACGGUCGGUCGAUUUUAUUUUUCAGCCAUCUCUGCUCGUCCGUUUAUUAAAACAAAUGUAAAAGCAAAGUUUGGCUUUUUGUCUUGAAUGUCUUUCAAGUCUGCGCUUUAUUAAAAACAAAGCGAGGGCUUUUGGGCUUUGCUAGCUUUGCCCGAAAGUUUGCAUUUUC